rnacentral:rRNA from 1 species
GACGAACGCUGGCGGCGUGCUUAACACAUGCAAGUCGAACGGAAAGGCCCUGCUUUUGUGGGGUGCUCGAGUGGCGAACGGGUGAGUAACACGUGAGUAACCUGCCCUUGACUUUGGGAUAACUUCAGGAAACUGGGGCUAAUACCGGAUAGGAGCUCCUGCUGCAUGGUGGGGGUUGGAAAGUUUCGGCGGUUGGGGAUGGACGCGCGGCUUAUCAGCUUGUUGGUGGGGUAGUGGCUUACCAAGGCUUUGACGGGUAGCCGGCCUGAGAGGGUGACCGGCCACAUUGGGACUGAGAUACGGCCCAGACUCCUACGGGAGGCAGCAGUGGGGAAUAUUGCACAAUGGGCGGAAGCCUGAUGCAGCAACGCCGCGUGCGGGAUGCCGGCCUUCGGGUUGUAAACCGCUUUCGCCUGUGGCGAAGCGUGAGUGACGGUAAUGGGUGAAGAAGCACCGGCUAACUACGUG